rnacentral:rRNA from 1 species
AUACGGAGGGUGCAAGCGUUGUUCGGAAUCACUGGGCGUAAAGGGCGCGCAGGCGGUUUGGUAAGUCAGAUGUGAAAGCCCACGGCUCAACCGUGGAAGUGCAUUUGAAACUGCCAGACUUGAGUACCAGAGGGGAAAGUGGAAUUCCCGGUGUAGAGGUAAAAUUCGUAGAUAUCGGGAGGAAUACCGGUGGCGAAGGCGACUUUCUGGCUGGAUACUGACGCUGAGGCGCGAAAGCGUGGGGAGCAAACAGAAUUAGAAACCCCAGUAGUCC